rnacentral:tRNA from 1 species
GGGGGUAUAGCUCAGUGGCAGAUCACGUGCUUAGCAUGCUCAAGGUCCUGGGUUGAAACCCCAGUCCCUCCA